AGUUCGAUUCUGCCUGUGAUUUAUCCGCUGGCGGGAUGCUUUAUACAUGCAAGUCGAACGGCAGCACGGACUUCGGUCUGGUGGCGAGCGCGAAACGGGUGAGUAAUGUAUCGGAACGUGCCUAGUAGGGGGAUAACUACGCGAAAGCGUAGCUAAUACCGCAUACGCCCUUCGGGAAAGCGGGGGGACCUUCGGGCCUCGCACUAUUAGAGCGGCCGAUAUCGGAUUAGCUAGUUGGUGGGGUAACGGUCACUCAAGGCGGACGAUCCGUAGCUGGUUUGAGAGACCAGCCACACUGGGACUGAGACACGGCCCAGACUCCUACGGGAGGCAGCAGUGGGGAAUUUUGGACAAUGGGGGAAACUCCCGAUCCAGCCAUCAUCCGCGUGUGCGAUGAAGGCCUUCGGGUACAAAAGCACUUUUGGCAGGAAAGAAACGGCACGGGAUAUGCCGCGUGGAACUGACGGUACCUGCAGAAUAAGCACCGGCUAACUACGUGCCAGCAGCCGCGGUAAUACGUAGGGUGCAAGCGUUAAUCGGAAUUACUACAUGUAAAGCGUGCGCAGGCGGUUCGGAAAGAAAGAUGUGAAAUCCCAGAGCUUAACUUUGGAACUGCAUUUUUAACUACCGAGCUAGAGUGUACGAGGGAGGUGGAAUUCCGCGUGUAGCAGUGAAAUGCGUAGAUAUGCGGAGGAACACCGAUGGCGAAGGCAGCCUCCCUGGGAUAACACUGACGCUCAUGCACGAAAGCGUGGGGAGCAAACAGGAUUAGAUAAUUCUGGUAGUCACGCUCUAAACGAUGUCAACUAGCUUUUGGUGCCAGCCUUCGCCUUGGUAGCGCAGCUAACGGGUGUUGACCGCCCGGGGAGUACGGCCGCAAGAUUAAACUCAAAGGAAUUGACGGGGACCCGCACAAGCGGUGGAUGAUGUGGAUUAAUUCGAUGCAACGCGAAAAACCUUACCUACCCUUGACAUGUCUGGAAUCCCGAAGAGAUUUGGGAGUGCUCGCAAGAGAACCGGAACACAGGUGCUGCAUGGCUGUCGUCAGCCUGGGUCGUGAGGAUGUUGCUAUCCCGCAACGAGCGCAACCUCGUCAUUAGCGUACAUGAGCAGGCAAUUCUUAAUGAGACUGCCGGCAUAAACGGAGGAAGGUGGGAUGGAUGCUAAGUCCUCGCGGUCCUUAUGGGUAGGGUCACAUCGUCAUACAAUGGUCGGGACAGAGGGUCGCUAACCCGCGAGGGGGGAGCCAAUCCCAGAAACCUCGAUCGUAGUCCGGAUCGCAGUCUGCAACUCGACUGCGUGAAGUCGGAAUCGCUAGUAAUCGCGGAUCAGCAUGUCGCACAGUUCCUGGUCUUGUACACACUGCCCGUCACACCAUGGAGCGGUUUUACCAGAAGUAGUUAGCCUAACCGUAAGGAGGGCGAUUACCACGGUAGGAUUCAUGACUGGGGUGAAGUCGUAACAAGGUAG
rnacentral:rRNA from 1 species